CCUACGGGAGGCAGCAGUGGGNAAUAUUGGACAAUGGGNGCAACCCUGAUCCAGCCAUGCCGCGUGAGUGAUGAAGGCCUUCGGGUUGUAAAGCUCUUUUGGCGGGGACGAUGAUGACGGUACCCGCAGAAUAAGCCCCGGCUAACUUCGUGCUAGCAGCCGCGGUAAUACGUAGGGUGCAAGCGUUAAUCGGAAUUACUGGGCGUAAAGCGUGCGCAGGCGGUUAUGUAAGACAGUUGUGAAAUCCCCGGGCUCAACCUGGGAACUGCAUCUGUGACUGCAUAGCUAGAGUACGGUAGAGGGGGAUGGAAUUCCGCGUGUAGCAGUGAAAUGCGUAGAUAUGCGGAGGAACACCGAUGGCGAAGGCAAUCCCCUGGACCUGUACUGACGCUCAUGCACGAAAGCGUGGGGAGCAAACAGGAUUAGAUACCCUGGUAGUCCACGCCCUAAACGAUGUCAACUGGUUGUUGGGUCUUCACUGACUCAGUAACGAAGCUAACGCGUGAAGUUGACCGCCUGGGGAGUACGGCCGCAAGGUUGAAACUCAAAUGAAUUGACGG
rnacentral:rRNA from 1 species